rnacentral:tRNA from 1 species
GUGUUGCUCAGUGGUAGAGUUGUUGCCUAGCAUGGAUGAGGCCCUGGGUUCAAUCCUCAGUACACA